CAGCUUUAUUUCUUCAAAGUCACUCACAAUGAAUGCCACACCGAAUGAUCUCGAAGAGACUUUAUUCUUUGACUGUCACAUAGAUUAAAGAAGGCAAGUGAUAACCCCCUGGAAAUUGUUACAGAAGCCUGGCAGCCCAAGGUAAUGUAUAAGAAGUUUAAAUUCACAAAAAGUACAACUCCACAGUGGAGUAUUUAGCUAACUUAGGGAUAACAGUAUCCGACCCAAAUGCAGCAAAUUACAUUACAAUAAAAGCAACGGAACAAUUAAUCAAGUCAUCAAGUCAAAAGUAUAUAUCAUGAACAACUUUGGGCUCGGUUCUGUGAAAGGCACUGGGUGGAGAAGUACAAGAAUAAGACCCACAACCUCACCCCUCUAUGACUGUCUUUCUAGUUACAAUAAUACACAGGCAAUAAAUUCAAGUAAUAUGAGGCAAUAUAUGAUUACACUUUUACAACUAUGCAGAGACCAUGCAUGCAAUUAGAUUUCCAGUAAAAGAGAAAAUGUUCUUUGAAUUUCAUUGUGAUGAACUAUAAUGUAGAACUCAAGCUAUAGGGUCAGUUCUUUAAAUCUAUAAAUUACUCUAAUUAAAUAUUUCUUUUUUGUUUUUUUGGAAAUACAACUUGGGGCUUUUUCCUCCUCCUAGCUCUAUGAUGUAGUUGUUUGGGGAGGAAUUUUCUCUUUAGAGUUCUCAAGUUUAUGUACAUAUUGAAUAUAUUUAACUUUAUUUAACUAUUUGAAAAUAAUCUGACCUCAAAUAAAGUAAAUAAUAAAAUCAGAUUUUCCCUGCUGAAUAAAGUUAGUCUUACCUUGAACUAUGAAACACCCUAUUAAACUGUUUAGUAAUGUUUAAUUACAGCUCUAAAUAAUAAUGUAUUAGGUGUAGGACAUAACAUGGAAACAAAGCCAAUUCAUCAUAACACAGAUGGGUUUUUCAUCAUAAAAAAUGGAAGGUUGACAGGCAAUCACAAAGAAAAUGAAGUGAACCACUGAAGAUGUGUCAGUAAUAUAUCCCCAAACCUCUCAAAGCUAUUGAUAAAAUUAGAUAGGAGGUUCAUGUUAUUCAGAUCAGUUGUCUACACUGAUUAAAUCAGACAACUCCUUGCAAUAGGAAUCAUUCAAUACAUUAUUAAUGAAAUUGUGCUAAAUAAUUAUUCAACUCUCUAUUUUGGAUAUACUAUAAAUUAUGAGCAGGUGGAGGAAUAAAUUUGAAAUUCAUUUAAUAAUUGCUAAUGUUUAUACCAUAUUUGAUCAUACGUAAAGAACUCUCACUCAUAGAAAUUGCCUCAUUUGGCCGGGUGAGGUGGCUCACACCUGUAAUCCUAACACUUUGGGAGGCUGAGGCGGGCGGAUCAUCUGAGGUCAGGAGUUCGAGACCACCCUGGCCAAUAUGGAGAAACUUGGUCUCUACUAAAAAUACAAAAAUUAGCUGGGCAUGAUGGCACAGGCCUGUAAUCCCAGCUAUUUGGGAGGUUGAGGCAGGAGAAUCGCUUG
rnacentral:lncRNA from 1 species